rnacentral:rRNA from 1 species
UACGUAGGGUGCGAGCGUUAAUCGGAAUUACUGGGCGUAAAGCGUGCGCAGGCGGUUUUGUAAGCCAGAUGUGAAAUCCCCGGGCUUAACCUGGGAAUGGCAUUUGGGACUGCAAGGCUUGAGUGCGGCAGAGGAGACUGGAAUUCCUGGUGUAGCAGUGUAAUGCGUAGAUAUCAGGAGGAACACCGAUGGCGAAGGCAGGUCUCUGGGCUGACACUGACGCUCAUGCACGAAAGCGUGGGGAGCAAACAGG